rnacentral:lncRNA from 1 species
UGACAUUUUAUGUAAUUUUAAACAUUCAAAAAAAUUCUAUCCAUUUUUUAAAAGAACGAAACAUUUUUGAAAAGGAAAAGUAAACUUGAAAAGAAAAAAUACAAAAAUAAAUAGAUAAAAAAAUGUCAAGAACUCAUGGAAGGUUCCUAAAACUUAUGAAAAAUGGCUUGGAACCAAGGUUCCGAAAACCGGGAUCACUGGAACGCUUUAGCGGGUCAUUGCUCGAUCGCCAACUCGUGCAUCAUAUAGGGUUUUCCCUGAAAACAAUAUAGGGGUUUCUCCUAUUGAUUCUUGAACAAACAUUCACCGCACCCAACCCUACAAAAAGUAAAAAUGAAAUCAUACCAUCCCAUGCCGCUCUAACUCGCACUCGCCUCAUUUACACACCUGCAGCUGCCCUGGUUUCUCCAUGACCCCAUCGUACUCCUAGUCGGCCCAUUUAAAACAUGAGCUCCACCGCAACCACAAGUGCCUCAAUAGCAGAGCAAGUGAGCAACGAUCUCACGCGCCCAACACAAUAGAAAGCGGGUCAAGAAAAACAUGUUUGUCGGCGUGGGACGCAUGGGAAACCUACUGGGUCUUACGGACGUCAGAGGCGGCUACGGUUGGGGUUUUGACAACAACUUUGCCGGCGUCUUCAUCGACGUCAUCAGUCUGAUCAAUGGCGUAAGGGGCGGCGUGGGGAGCCUGUCAGCGUUUUGUGGUGUCGGAGGAGCCCACGACAUCCCUUUCGGAGCUUUCGCCGGUGACAGCGGCCCAUUUGGCAGGCCGGCAGACGGGUACAGCGGUGGAGGAGCCGGCGGAGUCACCGCUAGGCUAUGGCGUCGUGGCCGAGCUAGCGAGGGCGUCGUGGUUCAUGCAUAUACCUACGUUACCCUAUCUAUGGGAAAUGCUUGGUGGAUCGCACUAGCUUAGCGUACGUACAUGCAUGGACCUAGGUUAUGUUCCUGAAGUUGCACUGGGUUCAGGCGCAGUAGUCCUAUUUUUCUACUGGUUUGUACGGCUGGCCACUGUGUGAGGCAAGAAGCUGGCCACUGUGUCUGUAGUUAAAAGGGAUUCAGGGUUGUGGUUGUGUUUGGUCGUAUGAACGGCUGUAUCCGACUAGCUAGCUAAAAUAGCUCUUCUCGUGAUGUUUUUUGUUUCUUGAACAGGUAGUCAAGUUAGCUUGCUCAACCUGUUCCAAACUCAAGUCCAGUUCAUGUGAAUUGUGUUUUCUGUUUACGUGGCAUUAUUAACAUCUGGAAAGACAAGGAAACCUCACUAAUUGUGAUCUAUGCAUGGCGUAGUCUGAGGAAAAAAAUCAAUCUAGCUGUGAGAUCACAAGUCACACAAAAAUAAUAAAAAUUGAAUUGAAGAGACAAAUGAUAUACAGAAAAUCGGAUACCUCAUAAACGAGAAGACGAAAAUGAAUUAUUCUUGUUGGUCCUCCCUACAAAAAAAAUCUAGUUGUUCUAAAAAAACACACUAGUCAUUCAAGGUUUCAAUCUAAAUCAUCGUGAUAAAAGUUGCCUGCCCUUCUACAUGUGAACUUUAUGAACUGAGGUGUUGAUUCUUGAACAAACAUUCAGAGCACCCUACCCUACAAAAAGUAAAAAUAAAAUCAUACCACCCCAUGCCGCUCUAACUCGCACUCGCCUCAUUUACACACCUGCAGCUGCCCUGGUCUCUCCAUGACUCCAUCAUACUCCUAGUCGGCCUAUUUAAAACACGAGCUCCACCGCAACCACAAGUGCCUCAAUAGCAGAGCAGCGAUCUCACGCGCCCAACACAAUAGAGAGCGGAUCGAGAACAUGUUUGUGGGCAUGGGAAGCAUGGGGAACCUACUGGGCCUCCCACCCGUCAGAGGCGGCUACGGUUGGGGCUCUGGCAAUAACUUUGCCGGUGUCUUCAUCGGCGUCACCAGUCUGAUCACUGGCGUAGGGGGCGGCGUGGGGAGCCUGUCAGCGUUUUGUGGCAUCGGAGGAGCCGGCGGCAUCCCUUUCGGAGCUUUCUCCGGUGGCAGCGGCCCAUUUUGCGGGCUGGCGGACGGGUACAACGGUGGAGGCGCCGGCGGAGCGAGGGCGCCCUGGUUCAUGCAUAUACCGAUGUCACAAUGUCUUGCGUGGACCUAGGUUAUGUUCAUGAAGUGGCACUGGGUUCAGGUGCAGUGGUCCUAUUUUUGUACUGGUUUGUACGGCUGGCCACUGUGUCAGGCAAGAAGCUGGUGUGUCUGUAAUUAGAAGGGAUUCAGUGUUGUGGUUGUGUUUGGUCGUGUGAACUACUGUAUCUGACUCUCGAAACAGGCUUUUGCCCCGUUUUGUCUUACAAAGCAACCACUUCUGGUACAUCCAACGAUAG